GAAGUAAUGGCUGAGUGGUUAAAGCGGCAGACUGUAAAUCUGUUGGUAGUACCGUCGUUGGUUCGAAUCCAACUUACUUCA
rfam:Paramecium tetraurelia mt large subunit rRNA gene region encoding a 5.8s-like rna, 20s rrna, and a tyr-trna.